UACAGAGGGGGCCAGCGUUAUUCGGAAUUAUUGGGCGUAAAGGGCGCGUAGGCGGCGUGGUAAGUCACUUGUGAAAUCUCUGAGCUUAACUCAGAACGGCCAAGUGAUACUGCUGUGCCUAGAGUGCAGAAGGGGCAAUCGGAAUUCUUGGUGUAGCGGUGAAAUGCGUAGAUAUCAAGAGGAACACCUGAGGUGAAGACGGGUUGCUGGGCUGACACUGACGCUGAGGCGCGAAAGCCAGGGGAGCAAACGGG
rnacentral:rRNA from 1 species